AUUGAACGCUGGCGGCAGGCUUAACACAUGCAAGUCGAGCGGGGUGAUGGUGCUUGCACUAUCACUUAGCGGCGGACGGGUGAGUAAUGCUUAGGAAUCUGCCUAUUAGUGGGGGACAACAACUCGAAAGGGAUGCUAAUACCGCAUACGUCCUACGGGAGAAAGCAGGGGAUCACUUGUGACCUUGCGCUAAUAGAUGAGCCUAAGUCGGAUUAGCUAGUUGGUGGGGUAAAGGCCUACCAAGGCGACGAUCUGUAGCGGGUCUGAGAGGAUGAUACGCCACACUGGGACUGAGACACGGCCCAGAGUCCUACGGGAGGCAGCAGUGGGGAAUAUUGGACAAUGGGGGGAACCCUGAUCCAGCCAUGCCGCGUGUGUGAAGAAGGCCUUAUGGUUGUAAAGCACUUUAAGCGAGGAGGAGGCUCUUUUGGUUAAUACCCAAGAUGAGUGGACGUUACUCGCAGAAUAAGCACCGGCUAACUCUGUGCCAGCCGCCGCGGUAA
rnacentral:rRNA from 1 species